rnacentral:lncRNA from 1 species
CGGAUGUCCAGCGCGUCCGGACCUGCAGACGCGCGAUAAUUAACGGUCUCCUGUGAGGGUGGAGAGAGGGCGGUCUGUGCUCAACCUCACAUGAAGAGCGUAACUAUAAAUAUAAUAGCGUCACUGACAGCCUUACAAAGUGGUUGCAUUAUUCGUGCACAUGGCUCAAACCGAGAUGUUGGAGUUUGGUGUGGAGCAGGGACAGAUGCUGCAGGUCUUGAUGCGGCACUGUCAGAGCAUGAAGCGUCAGGAGACACGACUGCGCGUGGCCACUGCGGUGCUGCUUGCAACGUUCUUCGCGACUUUGGUGUGGCUACAAUUUCACCAUCAAAAUACUACGGAGGCAUUCUCAGUUGCCCAUCAAGAGGCUUCGAAAACUGAAGAAUCACCACUAGGACACUCUGUUCAUCUUGAACCUGCAAGACAGAUUGAUGCUUGUUCAGAACAACAGUCCAUCGAGUGGGUGGAUGUGGAUGAUGGCUAUGACGCGCAAAAUUUCAAGCUGGAAAACCAAACAGUCCUGCACAUCUUCACAAAGGGCCUCUACUUGAUCAAUCUGAGGCUGUCUUACCGUAUAGCCUAUGGUCAGUGUAAGCCUAGUACAGAUCAUUUGACUUUAGUGGUCAUUGUCACACAGCAGCAUAGCAACUAUGAAAGAGAGAGAGAGAUUAUAAGUGCUAAAGAGUCUAUGAUUUGUAGAGAUUAUUGGCUGCAGUCAAUCACUUUGAAUCGAGCGAUCAUGUUAGAAGCUGGCACUAGCCUCAGGGUGAGAAUUAACCAGGAAAGCUGCAAGUUUGUAAACUGGGUUAAAAACAGUCAUUUGGAUGUCUCAUUUUUUAACAUGAGUUUUACUACCUGAAGGCAUUACUGCGCAUUUGAGAUUUGUUAGAAACGGCAUUAAGCAGGUGUGUUUAAUUGUUUAAUGACCUAUUAUUUAGGUGCUUAAUGAUACGAGAAUGUUUAGUUGGUUAAUAUUUUCAGGUUUAUUGAAAGGUUUAAUCUCAUUCAUUAUGCUGAAAUUGUUAUUAAAUAACAUGGCUACACGUGUACGAUCCACAAAAGAAGCAGAUUUUGAAUAUAGUUAAUAAUCAAGUGUUGUUGUGACAGCCAACAGCAAAAUGUUGGUAGCAUGAGAAAUC